rnacentral:rRNA from 1 species
CCUACGGGAGGCAGCAGUGAGGAAUAUUGGUCAAUGGACGAGAGUCUGAACCAGCCAAGUAGCGUGAAGGAUGACUGCCCUAUGGGUUGUAAACUUCUUUUAUAAAGGAAUAAAACGAGGCACGUGUGCCUUUUUGCAUGUACUUUAUGAAUAAGGAACGGCUAACUCCGUGCCAGCAGCCGCGGUAAUACGGAGGAUCCGAGCGUUAUCCGGAUUUAUUGGGUUUAAAGGGAGCGUAGAUGGGUUGUUAAGUCAGUUGUGAAAGUUUGCGGCUCAACCGUAAAAUUGCAAUUGAUACUGGCAGUCGUGAGUACAGUUGAGGUAGGCGGAAUUCGUGGUGUAGCGGUGAAAUGCUUAGAUAUCACGAAGAACCCCGAUUGCGAAGGCAGCUUACUAAACUGUGACUGACAUUGAUGCUCGAAAGUGUGGGUAUCAAACAGGAUUAGAUACCCGAGUAGUC